rnacentral:rRNA from 1 species
AUUGAACGCUGGCGGCAGGCCUAACACAUGCAAGUCGAACGAGUGGCGGACGGGUGAGUAAUGUCUGGGAAACUGCCUGAUGGAGGGGGAUAACUACUGGAAACGGUAGCUAAUCCCGCAUACCAUCGGAUGUGCCCAGAUGGGAUUAGCUAGUAGGUGGGGUAAAGGCUCACCUGGGCGCAGAUCCCUAGCUGGACUGAGAGGAUGACGAGCCACACUGGAACGGAGAUACGGUCCAGACUCGUACGGGAGGCAGAAGUGGGGAAUAUUGCGCAAUGGGCUGAAGCCUGAUGCAGCCAUGCCGAGUGUAUGAAGAAGGCCUUCGGGUUGUAAAGUACUUUCAGCGGGGAGGCGUUACCCGCAGAAGAAGCACCGGCUAACUCCGUGCCAGCCGCCGCGGUAAUUC